GACAGAGGGUGCAAACGUUGUUCGGAAUUACUGGGCGUAAAGCGCGUGUAGGCGGCGUAGCAAGUCGGGCGUGAAAGCCCACGGCUCAACCGUGGAAGAGCACUCGAAACUGCUGCGCUAGAGUUCUGGAGAGGAAGGCGGAAUGCUUGGUGUAGAGGUGAAAUUCGUAGAUAUCAAGCGGAACACCGGUGGCGAAGGCGGCCUUCUGGACAGUGACUGACGCUGAAACGCGAAAGCGUGGGGAGCGAACAGG
rnacentral:rRNA from 1 species